GAUGAACGCUGGCGGCGUGCCUAAUACAUGCAAUUCGAGCGAACGUACUAGUAGCUUGCUUCUCUGAUGUUAUCGGCGGACUGGUUAGUAACACGUUGAUAACCUACCUAUAAGACUGUGAUAACUUCGGUAAACCGGAGCUAAUACCGGAUAAUAUUUUGAACCGCAUUGUUCAAAUUUGAAAGACGGUCUUGCUUUCACUUAUAGCUGUAUCCGCGCUGCAUUAGCUAGUUGGUAAGGUAACGGCUUACCAAGGCAACGAUGCAUAGCCGACCUGAGAGGGUGAUAGGACACACUGGAACUGAGACACGGUCUGGACUCCUACGGGAGGAAGCAGGAGGGAAUCUUACGCGAUGGGCAAAAGCCUGAAGGAGCAACGCCGAGUGAGUAAUGAGAGACUUCGGAUCGUAAAACUCGGUUAUGAGGGAAGAACAUAUGUGUAAGGAACUGUGCACAUCUUGACGGUACCUAAUCAGAAAGCCACGGCUAACUACGUA
rnacentral:rRNA from 1 species